rnacentral:rRNA from 1 species
AGCUCCAAUAGCGUAUAUUAAAGUUGUUGCAGUUAAAAAGCUCGUAGUUGGAUUUCUGGUUCUUCAGGCACUCGACUCGAAUGAGUAAGCGGUGUUUGGGGAUGCCAUUUUUGCGAGGACCUUGUCUACAAUUAGUUUUGUGGGUUUGUUAAUCGCAUCUUUUACUGUGAAAAAAUUAGAGUGUUUAAAGCAGGCAUUUUGGCUCUGAAUACAUUAGCAUGGAAUAAUAAGAUAGGACUUUGGUGCUAUUUUAUUGGUUUGCACACCAAGGUAAUGAUUAACAGGGACAGUUGGGGGUAUUCGUAUUUAGUUGUCAGAGGUGAAAUUCUUGGAUUUACGAAAGACGAACUACUGCGAAAGCAUUUACCAAGGAUGUUUUCA